AUUGAACGCUGGCGGCAGGCCUAACACAUGCACGUCGAACGAGUGGCGGACGGGUGAGUAAUGUCUGGGAAACUGCCUGAUGGAGGGGGAUAACUACUGGAAACGGUAGCUAAUACCGCAUACCAUCGGAUGUGCCCAGAUGGGAUUAGCUAGUAGGUGGGGUAACGGCUCACCUAGGCGACGAUCCCUAGCUGGUCUGAGAGGAUGACCAGCCACACUGGAACUGCGACACGGUCCAGACUCCUACGGGAGGCAGCAGUGGGGAAUAGUGCGCAAUGGGCGCAAGUCUGACCCAGCCAAGCCGCGUGUAUGAAGAAGGCCUUCGGAUUGUAAAGUACUUUCGUCGGAGAAGCGUUAUCCACCGAGGAAGCACCGGCUAACUCCGUGCCAGCAGCCGCGGUAAUAC
rnacentral:rRNA from 1 species